rnacentral:rRNA from 1 species
CAAUGGGCGCAAGCCUGAUCCAGCAAUGCCGCGUGCAGGAUGAAGGCCUUCGGGUUGUAAACUGCUUUUGUACGGAACGAAAAGCCCUGGGUUAAUACCCUGGGGUCAUGACGGUACCGUAAGAAUAAGCACCGGCUAACUACGUGCCAGCAGCCGCGGUAAUACGUAGGGUGCGAGCGUUAAUCGGAAUUACUGGGCGUAAAGCGUGCGCAGGCGGUUUUGUAAGACAGAGGUGAAAUCCCCGGGCUCAACCUGGGAACUGCCUUUGUGACUGCAAGGCUAGAGUACGGCAGAGGGGGAUGGAAUUCCGCGUGUAGCAGUGAAAUGCGUAGAUAUGCGGAGGAACACCGAUGGCGAAGGCAAUCCCCUGGGCCUGUACUGACGCUCAUGCACGAAAGCGUGGGGAGCAAACAGGAUUAGAUACCCUGGUAGUCCACGCCCUAAACGAUGUCAACUGGUUGUUGGGUCUUAACUGACUCAGUAACGAAGCUAACGCGUGAAGUUGACCGCCUGGGG